rnacentral:misc_RNA from 1 species
UUUCAAGGUGCAGAAGCAUCUCAACAACCCUGCUCAUGGUAGGUCUGGCAUCUUUGUCUUCCUCCACACAUUGCAGGGCUAAUGAAAUCAGAGCUUCCAUUUUAGCUUGGUCAUAUUUACCUUCCAACGUAGGGUCUAUGAUCUCUUCAAUCCACGAUGUCACUCCAUUAGCUUUGUUCUUCUUGUCCCUCACCAGUGUCACCAAUC